GACGAACGCUGGCGGCGUGCUUAACACAUGCAAGUCGAACGAAAAGACGGAAAGAGCUUGCUCUUUUCAGAAUUGAGUGGCAAACGGGUGAGUAACACGUAAACAACCUGCCUUCAGGAUGGGGACAACAGACGGAAACGACUGCUAAUACCGAAUAAGUUCCAAGGGCCGCAUGGCCCAUGGAAGAAAAGGUGGCCUCUACCUGUAAGCUAUCGCCUGAAGAGGGGUUUGCGUCUGAUUAGCUGGUUGGAGGGGUAACGGCCCACCAAGGCGACGAUCAGUAGCCGGUCUGAGAGGAUGAACGGCCACACUGGAACUGAGACACGGUCCAGACUCCUACGGGAGGCAGCAGUGGGGAAUCUUCCGCAAUGGGCGAAAGCCUGACGGAGCAACGCCGCGUGAGUGAUGACGGCCUUCGGGUUGUAAAACUCUGUGAUCCGGGACGAAAAGGCAGAGUGCGAAGAACAAACUGCAUUGACGGUACCGGAAAAGCAAGCCACGGCUAACUACGUGCCAGCAGCCGCGGUAAUACGUAGGUGGCAAGCGUUGUCCGGAAUUAUUGGGCGUAAAGCGCGCGCAGGCGGCUUCCCAAGUCCCUCUUAAAAGUGCGGGGCUUAACCCCGUGAUGGGAAGGAAACUGGGAAGCUGGAGUAUCGGAGAGGAAAGUGGAAUUCCUAGUGUAGCGGUGAAAUGCGUAGAGAUUAGGAAGAACACCGGUGGCGAAGGCGACUUUCUGGACGAAAACUGACGCUGAAGCGCGAAAGCGUGGGGAGCAAACAGG
rnacentral:rRNA from 1 species